ACUACAGCGGAGACCACAGUAUAGGAAUAAAAGAUGGGGAGUUCAAAGCCAAUCUCUGUCUUCUUCUUGUGUCUCAUCUUCUUUGCCGCGGCUCUAUCGCCACUGCAGCCCUGCGACGCCAUUCGAAUAACCGAGCGAGGUUUAGCAACUGCGGACACUCCAAUAUGCCCUGCUUGCGUGUGUUGCUCACCUCCACCGCCGGGAUCAUGUUGCGCCUGCUGUGCUACUCCUAUUGAAACUCAGUCCACAACCGGCCCUCCGUGAGAGAUCAACUGUCUACUUCAGACAGUUGCUAAUAAAUAGUAUGAAUAAAGAAGGAGCUGGAAAAUCCGAAUAAGAAUUUGACUAAUGUUGUUCAAGACGUUGUCUUGUGUUGCUUGGAAAUCUGGAAUAAGUGUAAGCAUGAUCACUAAUUUCCUGUUGUCGAGCCAGGGACGUGUUCUUAUGAAGUUGAAUAAUUUCAUGUUCUAUCAUCAAUGAUUUCAUUUGGGCAA